AAUAAUUCAGUUGGUUAGAGCGUGUGGCUGUUAACCACAAGGUCGGAAGUUUAAACCCUCCUU
rnacentral:tRNA from 1 species